CACGGGGGGAGCAAGCGUUGUUCGGAAUCACUGGGCGUAAAGAGCGUGUAGGCGGCCAGAUAGGUCCGUUGUGAAAACUCGAGGCUCAACCUCGAGACGCCGAUGGAAACCAUCUGGCUAGAGUCCGGAAGAGGAGAGUGGAAUUCCUGGUGUAGCGGUGAAAUGCGCAGAUAUCAGGAGGAACACCCGUGGCGAAGGCGGGUCUCUGGGCCGAUACUGACGCUGAGGAGCGAAAGCGUGGGGAGCAAACAGG
rnacentral:rRNA from 1 species